GUGAGUAGAAGUUUAGUGUGUGCGAAAUAUUGACUCCCAGAAGAUAAUUGUCACUUAACGUGGCUACCCCAAAGUAUAAAGCCCUAAGGUCAAAAACUUUAGAAGUGUCCAUGAUACUGAGUAGAAAUGUGUGCGUAGUUGAUGUUCUAUAUUUGAAUUUUAACGGAAAUUUAAUUCCAAUUUGAUAUAGGUACGUGCUCUUUUAUGUUUUGUAACUUUUUUAGUUUAUUAUAACCUAUUCAAUCCCUCUGUAAUUUUAUCUAAAUGUGCAGUGAGUGCUAGUUCGGCUAGGUUUGGGCUGUAAAGUGAUAGUGGAAACUGAACAGACAGAGACGGAAAUCAUGUCUCCGUCAUCACAAGAGGUCUCCGCACCGCGAAGUACAAAAAGCCGCUGGAGUUGUGGACUCCACUACACAGCGCGUGGCGUGCUUCUUGCAGAGUGGGCGGGCACCGCACUGCUGGUGUUGCUAAGCUGUCUGCCAGCAUGCGCCGGCGCGCCGCAGUAUGCGUGCGCAAGCGCCGCGGGUCUCGCUGUUGCACUCCUAGUUCAGUGCUUCGACCACAUAUCCGGCGCCAUGUUCAACCCCACCAGU